CAGUCCGCUUUCUUUCCCCAGCAUCACCAUGUCAUCCAGAAUGGCUUUCUUCAAUUCCUGAAUUGAACCAUGUCCAGUAGUUGAGUUCCUCUGCAUCGACCAGCUUGAUGUGGUUGCAGGGCAGAGGUGCCCCUACAUGCCCUAGGACACCAGAACAAGAGUGGGACCAGCAUAAUUGACCCAGCACAAAACUACACAGAGGCCCUGAGUAAGGUGGGAGUCUCAUUCCACCAUGCACAUGGUUAGGAGGUUGUAGAGUGGUACCCACAUCAAGACAUUUUUCCAGCUGGUCAUAGUGGUGCACAGCUGUAAUAGGACAUGAAUGUUGAGGAUCAGGAGAUGGAGGCCAGCGUGCGUUACACGUGGACCAUAAACUACAACCCAGAGUGCUUGCUACACUGCAGAUUUGGACUGAGGUCUGGGAUGAGGCAUGAGGGUCUGCAUUUCUCACUGGUACCUAGGCAGUAUGGAUGGCACUGUACUCAGUACUGCACUUAGGUAAGCAAGGAACAGAAAACCAGGAUGAAGUUACUCAUCCCUGGGGUUGGGGGGUGGGAAUCAAAUUCUAAAGUUUGGUGAUCUUAUGCACUCCAGCCACAAGAUCCUAUCGAAGUCACUCACUAGCCCUUGUAGUCUUUACCUCACAUGAUGGGAAGCAAAUGGAGCGCUAGGUAGGUGCUGGCCAAGGUCCUGAACCAGACUGCCACGGGUAUGAAAAAGAAGGCUGGGGCACUUGGGUUUCUCUUUUAGAAGACACAUUGCUAAACCUGUUAUGAUAUUAUACAAAGAGACAUCAGCUUUCUGACACCCAGCCUCCUAGGGUUUCCAGUAAGGAUGAAUUAAAAACUCAACAGUUUUAAAUAGGACAGCAUUAAAGAUGGCAUCCGAGGUAAGUGGGGUUAGAGUGGGCUCAGGGUUCUAAGUUUGAUUCCCAGAAGCUACACGGUGGAGAGAACUGACUCAUGCAAUCUUUCUUCAGAUAUUUACAUGUGCACUGUGAAAUACACAUGCUCUCUCACCCACACAAAUAAAUAAAUAAAUAAAUAAAUGUAAUUUUUUAAAAGAAUGAAAGUGCCUGAAAGGAAUGCAAUUCAUGGAAUGGUGACUUGGUAUAGUGGAAACAUACACACACACAGACACACACAGACACACACACACACACAGGCACACAGACACACAGACACACAGACACACAUACACACACACACACACACACACACACAGAGCUAGGUCCUGGAGAAAUGUCUCAGCUUGCUGCUCUUACAGAGAAGUAUUUGGUUUCCAGCAUCCACAUUAGGCAGCUCAAAACCACCUGCAAUUUUGGCUCCAGGGGAUCUGAUGCCCUCUUCUGGCCCCUAUGGACAUUUGGACUCAAGUGCAUAUCAGACAAACAUAUAAUUAAAAUUAAAUAUUUGUAUAAUUCUUUUUUAAAAAAUAGUGAACACGACUUUCAAAGAGAGUUCCCAAAGAAUAUCUGUCAGUAGGAGAAUGAGCAGAGAGUUUGUAUGGGAAACAAGUAGCCUUCACCCAGCUUGAGUAAAUGAGACAGGGUUCAUGAAAAAAAAA